UACCGGAUAACAACACUAGACGCAUGUCUAGAGUUUAAAAGAUGGUUCUGCUAUCACUCUUGGAUGGACCUGCGGUGCAUUAGCUAGUUGGUAAGGUAACGGCUUACCAAGGCAAUGAUGCAUAGCCGAGUUGAGAGACUGAUCGGCCAAUUGGGACUGAGACACGGCCCAAACUCCUACGGGAGGCAGCAGUAGGGAAUCUUCCACAAUGGACGCAAGUCUGAUGGAGCAACGCCGCGUGAGUGAAGAAGGGUUUCGGCUCGUAAAGCUCUGUUGGUAGUGAAGAAAGAUAGAGGUAGUAACUGGCCUUUAUUUGACGGUAAUUACCUAGAAAGUCACGGCUAACUACGUGCCAGCAGCCGCGGUAAUACGUAGGUGGCAAGCGUUGUCCGGAUUUAUUGGGCGUAAAGCGAGUGCAGGCGGUUCAAUAAGUCUGAUGUGAAAGCCUUCGGCUCAACCGGAGAAUUGCAUCAGAAACUGUUGAACUUGAGUGCAGAAGAGGAGAGUGGAACUCCAUGUGUAGCGGUGGAAUGCGUAGAUAUAUGGAAGAACACCAGUGGCGAAGGCGGCUCUCUGGUCUGCAACUGACGCUGAGGCUCGAAAGCAUGGGUAGCGAACAGGAUUAGAUACCCUGGUAGUCCAUGCCGUAAACGAC
rnacentral:rRNA from 1 species